UACGAGUGCCCCGAGCGUUAUCCGGAAUCAUUGGGCGUAAAGGGUGCGUAGGUGGUGGGGUAAGUUUGAUGUGAAAUCUCCGAGCUUAACUCGGAAAUGGCAUUGAAUACUACUCUGCUAGAGGAUUGGAGGGGAGACUGGAAUUCCUGGUGUAGCGGUGAAAUGCGCAGAUAUCAGGAGGAACACCGGUGGCGAAGGCGGGUCUCUGGGCCGAAAUUGACGCUGAGGAGCGAAAGCGUGGGGAGCAAACAGG
rnacentral:rRNA from 1 species